GUGUGUUUCUGUAACAUUAUUUCGGCUUCAAAGAUUCAAAAUUCUCAACAAAACUAAAUAAUAAAAAAUAUGUAACGAACAGUUUCUACCAAACAUAAAAUUUCAAUUGGUGUAAAACUGAUACAAAAAUCUAUUCUAGAAUUGUUUAAAAUGAUAAUGUUUUGCGAAUAAAUGAUCUGAGAGCGAUAUAAGAAUCAAUAUCGAAAUUGUAGCUUAAACAGAAACAUUGGUAAACUUCGGUUCCUUACAAAAACGGAAUUUCAUAUCUGUUUUAAGAAGCGAAGAUGAUAUCAUAACCGUUUUCAACUUCUAUUUCACAUAUGUGAACACAUAUAUUUCUGUUCUUAUGUCUAUCUGAACAACAAAACACGGAAUACGCCAUAUACGGAAUAAUUUUUGUGUUAUGGCGUUUCCAAUUAAUUAACGUUUUUAAAUAAAUAAUAUAUGCUUGAAAAGAAUGAAAAUAUUUCAUUAAAUAUAACAAGCAAAGAAUGAAAUUUGUAACUUAUUAACACGUUGUAUAGUGAAUAUUCAUAGAGUACGUGGUACGUGAAAAAUUACGUAGAUGAAGAUUAUAAGAACUACGCACUCAAAAGGUUAAGUCGAGAAAAGGAUCUAAAAGUGUUUUUCUAGUAGGUAGAAUCAUAAGGAGCAAUAGUAUUUUUAGCGUAAUUAGUCGGAAUUGCUUUGCUUGCAAUUUUGAAAUCUGAACUGCACUUAGCGAAGCUGAUUAUCUACAUUCUCUCCUGUGCACUCAUUGUAAACAAAAGAAUAGUGAUCUUUGUAUGAUUUACACUGAAAGUGACUUAAACCAAUUUCUAAUUUUUGAGGGUAAAGAUUAUCUUGGCGUAGGUAGGUACUACGGUGAAACGAACAAAUCAAAAUUAAUUGAAAAUUAAUAACCAGAUUGCGGAUCUUUAUGUAUUUAUGCAGGAAAUUUGAAAGCGCAGAAUUGCACAAAAUGUACAUGAUAUGGAUUGUUUAUGUUGAAAAUGAUAUAGGUCUAUUUUGGGUUGAUUUGAGAUAUUGAAGAUAGAAAAUAGAUAGAAAAUAUCCUGAUAAAGCCUACUUGAUUUGUCCAUGUCGCUAUGUGUUUGAGUAGAUGUAAAUUCGUUAUACAAUAGUGUCUUUUAAGAAUCAAUUAGGCCAAUAUCUUCUUUCAGGAUCAUGAAUGGACUUGUAUCAAUUUCAAAAUUAUAAAUUAUACAAUUUAUUAAAUUUUAAUUAUUUAAAGCUCAUGUUUUAUGUUUUAAUCCGCUUUUCUUUAUAAAUAAGAACGGAAAAAACAAUAUGCUACUAUUUCAUUUCAAUAUAUUAUUUCAGUAUAUAUUAGGUGCGUUAUUUCUUUUUGGAUUGUUAUCUGCUGGUGUUUUGAAACACUCAUGACACAAGGAAGAUGUGUUACGUCAUAACCGCGUCAUAUUUUAUCACAUCGUACAUAUAUUCAACGCAGUCUAAAGUGGAACCCAAAACUGGGUCCUUGGGUGGCUAUAAAAGUAAUUUUGCACCAACUAUAAUUUUUCUAAUCUAACCUGAAGAAGUUCAAGGUAAAUUUGACGUGAUUUAUUGGUAUAUCAAAUAUUAGUCAAUGUUUUUCCCUUUGUGUAUGUUAAAUUUUGUUUCUGAUUAUUAUUCGCGUUAAAACACUUAAAUGAUCGGUGUAUUAGUUCCUAAACAAACGCCUGUGGCCAGCGAUUGUCGAAAAGAUUUCCGUCUUCUUGAUGGUCUUUGCCAUCGUCUGAAUCACAGCUACGUUCUGAAAAAUUACCAUCUCCUGAAUCUCUAGCACAAAUAUCGGGCGCACAAUCAGACAAAAUAUCCGCAUAAAAUUCAUGGGACAGUUCUUAUUCACUAAAAAAUUCGCCAUGCUCCAUUUUUAAAGUGGCACGAGUCUCCGUUAUUUCUGUUCUGGAUGGGUUGUGACAUACGACCACCCGAACUUUUCUAAAGCUGCGUAUUUUCUAUUAGUCUGUCUUCGGUUUACGAGUUUUAUCUUAUUUCCUUCUCCUUUGUAGGUAGACCUUUGCUUUUUACAGCAUAUCUUUCCGUGGCUACAUUAGCCUUGAAUGGUUGAAGGAACAAAGCGAAACUUCCACAGUUUCAACAACUUUCCUAUAUUUUUCAAAGUUACGUACAUUACAGUAUAGUUGAUUGUUACUAUUGUGCGGCUUGUUAUAAUGACUUUAGUUUCCUCUGUUUAUAAUUUAGUUUAAGUCAUGUAAUUUAGUUAACUUGGCAAGUUGUUGGGUCUCUCACCGGAAUACCCUCAUGCGCCAGAAAAUUCCCCUUGCAAAAUGUAAAAAGUAAAAUAAAAGUAACGAAAUAGAACGUGAAUAUGUACUUUUCACAAUGAAUAUAUUAUCGAUGUAACGCUCUAAAAGUAUCAUACGGUGAUUUUGAUUACAUCAGCUUCUAAUAACGUCUAAACACGUCGCCGGUUAAUAACGUUCAAUUUACAACAGACGUCUUAAGACGUUCCCGGUCAUUAAAGCUUCAACAUUCUGAAAGCCUUGUCAUACUUGCUUUGCAUCGUACACGUUCGUUUCUUAUUAAUGUUUAACAACAAACGGAAGGAGUUGUCAUAAUAUACAUAAAUAUAAAAGGCGUGUUAGUUUGUGGCGUACGUAUAACACUUUGAAGAGAGAUUACUUGAUUUAUAUAAGCUUCAACGCGCCGCUAUUCGUUCGUAGAAGUUGUGUGCUAUCGAUUUUAUUGUGUGAGGCGAUAGCUACUUGUUGUUGCUGACGACAGGAGAGAUCUAUCGAUAAAGCAGGCUCGUUGACAUUUUGUAGCUACUUCCUGAAUCGAGUACACUCGCAGAGAUGAGCAGGCCAGACAAUCAGUUCGAAAGUCUUUUAUUUCAAACAGACUAAACGAUUUGUGGGUGAUAAAUGAGACAAUUGAAAUUCCAUUUACAUGCGACGCUCUCGGAACAAAGUACCUGCAGACUUUUGAUGUUACUUGCAGUUCACAAAAAUAUUGAAACAUUUAUACAAACAUUUUACGGAUGUACAGCGAUUCAAGAGAUUAUUCUACCACUUGCCAUAGAAAAUUUUUAUGAAUAUAUUAAGCGAACUAUACAAAACUUUUUGGAACUUCGUUGACACUGUAAUUGAUUGGAAAAUGUAAAAGUUACAAAAUGUUUAUUGUAAAGAUAUAUCGUAAACAUAUUGUAAACACUUAGUGAAAAGUUAAACAUUUUGCUAAUUAAUGCUAAUUAUAUGCACAAUUAAUGUUAAAGAUGUUCCCACAAAUAUUGUGAUUUAUUAAUUUAAUCUUUGGUGAUCUUUGCCAAUAUAAUUCCAAUAAAUAUUCUGUAACUUUUAUAUACAUCUCCAGAUUCGUUUCAAAUUUUGCCAAUGUAAUCAUGAUAGUCGUGUCUCGUUACAGUACGAUCUUCAAAUGAAAUUUCAAAAUGUUUUAUAUAAUAUGUAGAUAAAAAGUUUGCAAGGCUGUUUGAAUAUUUUCGUGAGCCGCUCUGUUAUGCGUAUUAUAUGAAAUGUUUAAAAAUUUCAUUAGCACUGUAGCGAGUACCGACUAUCAUGACUAACAUGAUAAAGUUUGAAAUAAAUCUAAAAAUGAAUGUACAUAGAAGCUACAAUGUAUUUAGUGCAAGUACAUAUUUCGUGAGAUUUAAACGGUAAAUUAUUCGUUAGAUUAAUAAGCAUCAAUACUGUGUAAAACCAUUUUUAACACUUAUUAUAUGUUUAAGAUGAUUAUUCAUACCGUGUACUAAUUUUGUAAUAAACAUUUGCAGUAAAUUUUGUAGCUCCUAUAUGUAUAUAUUUUCAGAUUGAUCUCAAAUAUUCGCCAUGUAAUCAUGACAGUCGUACUUUAUUACAGUGCGAACAAAAUCUCCCUGGGAGCAUAAUAUUAUACGCAUAUAUGUAACACGAAUAAUAAAUCCGUAAAAUUUUUAGUAAAAGUUUGCACUAUGAGUACAAGAGUACAUUGAUCUCCGAGGAUUAGUAGAAAGAUUAUUAGCUUUUCAUUUCGACUUGGAUGAAUAUGAAGAUCACAGGGAAAGUACACGAUAUGUAAAAUUUUGUUGACCUUUUUAUUUAAAUGUUAUAUUACGACUAAAAAGGAAUAUUGUAAUAUAAAGUAUACUAGCUAAAAAUAGAAAGAAAUUGUUAGGCGUAAAAGUAUAAUUAAUGGAGUUUUUUAACUGUGACGACAGGCAACUAUUUGGAAUAGAUUCUUUUGAUGGGUUUGAAAUAUAGUGUCGACGCAUUGAAAUAUGUUUGAUAAAUUGCUGAACAAUUUUUCCUUAGCACACAUGUAACGUUCAAUUUACAUAUAUAGAAAAUCUUCUUCUCGUUUGCUUCGUACGAUUUAUAUCGAAAUUUUUACCUAGUCUUUUUAAGAUCUCCCAAAAUUAUUUGUUUGCUUAAACUUUACUGCGAUGUACGAAAAAUUGUUUAAUAUUAGCCUUUAGUAACUUCUUUUUCACUUCGAAUUUUGACCUUAUAUCAGAUAAAAUUUAUUUCAACGUCUUUUCACUCACAAGGGAACGCCGAUGACUGAUACACGCUGAUUUUGCUAAAAACUUUGCACAAGUAUUCAUUAGAGCUACCUAAUUCGUUCGAGCCCGUUUUUUAUUUUAAGGGAGAAAUCGACCAAGUGUGUUCAAUCCUCUACGUAAUUGUUUAUAAAUCGUAAAUAACAAAAGAAAUCAAAAAUGUGCGAGACAUUUAAAAAGAAAUUACUCUUUUACGAGAAUCAAAUUGCCUUCCUUCUUUUUUCCAGAAAUCUGGAAACGACGUCUAUCUGGAAGGUAAUGAGAAUUACUUCAUAAAAUAAUAUUUAUUGAAAAUAUUCACGAAGUUAUGUUAUCUCCUUCAAAGUAUGUUCCUUGAAGACACACACGAUUCUCUGCCAUUCUUCGUAGCAUUCUUCCCCGGCUGUCAUGUGCAGCACUUACGUCAUAGAUUUUUGGACGUUUUCCAUGGAACCGAAAUGGUGACCUCUUAAUUUAGUUUUUUGGGGGACAAAAAGUAGUCGCAAAAUGCCAGGACGAGGCUGUAGAGUGGGUGUGGAAGGACUGCAAUGAAUUUUUUAAUUGGGAACUUUCUCAAAGUUAUGGGCUUGGUGUAUUAUCGUGAUAUUCACGACGAAGUAUAGGGAAGAAGACACACAAAAACACUCAUGUGGAUCUGGUGAAGAUCGAAACACACCUAAGGAGAGCAGAUCGUAAUGUUACCCAAACCAAACAAAAACCCACAUUUAACUGCAUCUUACAGGACAAUAUCAUUACUACCUGCGUUUUCCAAACUACUAGAAAAAAUAAUAUAUAACCGCCUAAAACCAACGAUAGAAAAAGAAAAACUAAUACCGGACCAUCAAUUUGGAUUCAGGAAUAAACACUCCACAAUAGAACAAAUGCAUAGACUCG